AGUUCAUAAAUCAGUUCACAGCGAAGAACCAUUUUUCUACAUUUGCUUAUUAGUUUGUGCGUUUGUCCGGCUCUUGAUAUAACUUCAGACCUUUGCAGGUUGUGGCAUCCUCCUGAAUAAAGUAUUUGCAGACGUAUUAGGAAGUCCGGAUCUUUCGCUUUUUCUGUUCUUCAGAUUAUCGUGCGAGAAUGGCGGGGAACGGUAACGAUUCGGGAAUGGAGGAGAACGGUUUGCCUCAACUUUGCUAUGGACGCUGAUUUGGCCAUAUUUUAAUCCGUCUUCGUGAUCGAGUGCGCCGGGUAGUUUGCUGCCCUGAUCGAAAGGAAAACACUAUUAUCCACUUCUUCACAUUUUCCAGUGUCACCGUGAGCGGAACGGCUCACUAAAUGACUUCGCCGACGACUACUUGCUGAACCGAUUAUCAUACUCGAUUGGUCCUGAAUCUAAAUACAACGCUAACGACAUCAUUGUUUAACUAUGCUUCUAAAAUGCCGAUACGAGGUUGCCGUCCUCCAGCAUCAUGCGCCAGUAAUCGGCGGCGACCAGCCAGGGCUGCAGCAACUGCAGGCUGACCAUCAACUGCAGGAGCUGCAGCAGGAAGUCGAUCGCCUGCAGGCCGAAGUGAACGCGCUGCGCGCGCAAAAGCACGCCCGGGAAUUGGCCCUCUUUGGGCUGGGGUUGGCUGCGGUGGCUCUGUUCGGCUUCGCGUUUUCCAUGCGCUACCGUGGCUGAUGAAGUGAUGGGAUUAUGAUCCAGCGCAUUUGUGGAUUAAUGGUUUUUUUAUUGAUAUUUUAACUUAGUUAUUGAGUUAAGAAAAUUAAUUUACUUAAUAUUCGGCUGUUAGGUACUACUGUACUUAAACCAUGGGCUCUAGCUCGUGUACGCGCACCUUUCCAUUGAUUUUUUUUCAAGCUUUCCUUGUGUCUGAGUCCUGAGGAGCACUGGACGCUGUGGACAGUAAUGACGUAAUCGAACGAAAAAAAUGCUCCAGUUGAAGAUCUUAAGAAUGUGAAUUUGUACUUUUGUUGCGGUACCUUUCGUCUUAAUAACAAUAAAUUCAGAUACUGAAUGUA